CCGGCUUCGGUCGGGGAUUAGUGGCGAACGGGUGAGUAACACGUGGGCAAUCUGCCCUGCACUCUGGGAUAAGCCUGGGAAACUGGGUCUAAUACCGGAUAUGACCUUCUCUCGCAUGGGGGAGGGUGGAAAGCUUUUGCGGUGCAGGAUGGGCCCGCGGCCUAUCAGCUUGUUGGUGGGGUAGUGGCCUACCAAGGCGACGACGGGUAGCCGGCCUGAGAGGGUGACCGGCCACACUGGGACUGAGACACGGCCCAGACUCCUACGGGAGGCAGCAGUGGGGAAUAUUGCACAAUGGGCGAAAGCCUGAUGCAGCGACGCCGCGUGAGGGAUGACGGCCUUCGGGUUGUAAACCUCUUUCAGCAGGGAAGAAGCCUUGCCUUUUUGGGUGGGUGACGGUACUUGCAGAAGAAGCACCGGCUAACUACGUGCCAGCAGCCGCGGUAAUACGUAGGGUGCAAGCGUUGUCCGGAUUUAUUGGGCGUAAAGAGCUCGUAGGCGGCUUGUCACGUCGAUUGUGAAAGCUCAGGGCUUAACCCUGGGUCUGCAGUCGAUACGGGCAGGCUAGAGUUCGGUAGGGGAGACUGGAAUUCCUGGUGUAGCGGUGAAAUGCGCAGAUAUCAGGAGGAACACCGGUGGCGAAGGCGGGUCUCUGGGCCGAUACUGACGCUGAGGAGCGAAAGCGUGGGGAGCGAACAGGAUUA
rnacentral:rRNA from 1 species